AGUCACAGCCAGAGUCUCUAAUAUUCCCAUAGAACAGCCUAUCAUUAGUCUCCACAUGCUUUAAUUGAGAAAUCUCAGCCCUGCAAGUGCCCCUUGUCCCUCUAGAAGUACACUGCUAUGAGGAGAACAGGGCCGGGCCCGGAGCCCCAUGGCGGCGGGAGGUGGAUUGUUACUGGCUAUGCUAGCCCAUAGAGCCCAAGGAAGGGUGAAAAUUGCCCAGUAACAGCAAGAGUGAAAAGGCCACGCUCAGCCUGACAGAGAAGAAGAGUCUAUUCCAGCUGCUCCUUUUGGUGGCACCUAGCAGCAGCAGCUUCACAAGUGUGUGCUGCUGGUGCAUCUCCUGCCUCGUGUGAUCCUGAUGCAAUUCCAGUUGCAUCACCCACACCAUGUAAGAGCCCAGCAAAGUGACCGAAGAUAACAGAGCCACACAGCUAGCAAGGCAAGAGGCUUCUCUUCAUUCAGGGCAGAAGGAGAAUGCUGUGAGCCCAUUAGGUUUAUACUGCCUGUGAUGUGGCACCACUAAAAUGGAUGAGCACUGACAGCACUCUACGAGGUACCCUGGCUGCCAGCAGUGCACUGCUGCUUUUCACAUCAUCUUCUCCACUGCCUGCCCAGGAGACUGAGGGUCACAGCAAAGCAUCCCAGCACCUGAUCAUUCCAAGGAUGAUGAGCUCCACCACUGCAACACCUCCUAUGCUUAGCCAGGGAGACUGUGUGAGGGACACAAGCAUGCUUCUGGCAUUCUGAGGGUCCUAAAAAAAUGACUCAUCUAUUUUGUGCUUAAUACAUAUAAAAAUUAUGCUAUGCAGCAACAUAUUGCAUGCAAUUUAAAUUUUAUUACAUGAAGAAAAAAUCACCAAGGACUUUUCUUUCUGGUGAUUAUUUAGCAUUUUUCCCUAUUUCUUGAAAUCAAUGUAGAAAUAGGCUGCAAGUAACUAAGAAAGAAAAAAAAAAAAAAAAAAAAAAAAGCUGUACACUUUAAGCUCCAAGGGAAAAACAAUGCAAAGGAAGUGGAACCCAUAAAGAGUGAGCAGUGCUGGAGCACAUCAGUCUCUCUGCUGAUCACCCUCACUCUGGAGCAAUACAGAUGAACCAACAGGAAAGAGCAGACAAUUCCUCACAGAUAAAAUGAGAUUUUAUAGGGAUGCUAAGCGGCUAACAUAUUUUGUCCCCCUGCCUCUCCUCAGCAGCGUGACAUGUCAAGCUUGGAAAAACAACAUUUACAUAACUGUGUGUGAGAGAAUCACAUGUUAUGUGCAACAGAGGAUUUUGCCUGGGAAUUGAGAGGAGCACAAAAAGGUUCAGAAUGCUGCCAGUGCCCUGGUCCAGAAGCAGAUCCUGUUAACCAGCAGAGUUCACCUGGAGUCCUGCCAGUAAAAUACGCUGCCUCUGACACAACUCCACAACAGGGGUGGUGAGAAACUAUGCCUCUGUCCGCAAGUAGAUGUGAGACCAAGAGCACUGCUGCUGAUACAACAGCAGUUAAACUCCUGAUGGCAAAGUUAGGGAAGUCUUCAUUUGUACCAUUAGGUACCAAAUCACCUUUCAGGAGGUCUCUGGGCAUUUAACCUGUCAGUGUUACAGCCCAAAUCUGUGCAAAGGUGGAGUUUAAUCUCAAAGCCUGGUAUAUUUGCUUUAUAAACCAACACCUUGAUAAUAAACUAUUGUAAUCUAAUGAUUGUGUUAGAACGAUAAUUGUGCAUCUACUUGAAAACAAUUAUGUAAUCAUUUGGGGUAUUUGUGACGUAUUUGUGAACAAGAUGGGAAAAGAGUCACAGAACUGCUUCCCAGGAAACUCCUAGCAAUAUUCUUGUACCACAUUACUGAGGCAUUCAAACAGAGUAGAACAAGGCCAAAUAUGGCAUGGCCCACCUCAGAUGGAAAGUAG